rnacentral:misc_RNA from 1 species
GAAAUGCGAUAAGUAAUGUGAAUUGCAGAAUUCAGUGAAUCAUCGAAUCUUUGAACGCACAUUGCGCCCGCCAGUAUUCUGGCGGGCAUGCCUGUUCGAGCGUCAUUUCAACCAUCAAGCCCCCGGCUUGUGUUGGGGACCUGCGGCUGCCGCAGGCCCUGAAAAGCAGUGGCGGGCUCGCUGUCACACCGAGCGUAGUAGCAUACAUCUCGCUCUGGGCGUGCUGCGGGUUCCGGCCGUUAAACCACCUUCAUAACCCAAGGUUGACCUCGGAUCAGGUAGGAAGACCCGCUGAACUUAA